rnacentral:rRNA from 1 species
UAGAGUAGUCAUAACACCUUGCAACUCACAACUGGCAACCCACUGAAGCUCAGCAGGUGUAUGCCUGGUCAGUACCUGGAUGGGAGACCCCCUGGGAAAAACUAAGGUUAUUGCUGGAA